AAGAGCUGAGAUCUACAUGAAAUCUUACUGACAUAGUGCAAAUUCAAGUUUGUAAAAAGCAUGGCAUCCAAGGGUAGGUUGGGGCACAAUACGGACUAAGGUUUUACAUGCAAAUAUAUAUGGAAAGCCUUCAGAUAUGGGCCAAGGUAACUCAGGUGAGCGAUGUGGCCCAUUGGUCUCUUGUUAAAAAAUUCUACCACCUUUUUACCCCAUAAGUUCGCCUUGUGUAAUUUUUAUAUCACUAGUAUAUUCCCUUUUGUAAAAAAAAAUCCUGAAAGUGAAAACAUAAAAAAAUUAAGUCCAUCUAGUCAAAAACCGACACCGGCAAUUUUUAAAAAAAAAAUCAAUUUUUAAAACAUAAAUUCCUACUAAACAUACUGAUGCAAGGUGAAGAUAACGAACUGUGAUCAAUCUCAUAACUCCUAUAAGCAAUACAAAUUAGAUAGUUGGGCAAACACGGACCCCUGGACACACCAUAGGUGGGAUCAGGUGCCUAGGAGGAGUAAGCAUCCCCUGUUGAUAUGCAACAUGACUUUGUUCGCUACAUGUCAAAAUUUCGCAAAUCUUACCUUAAAGGAACUUGUUCAUGAUUUUUAAUAAGUAUUUUUUAUUUUUUAUGUCAAAUAUUGAAAACAUAACUCAUUUUAAUGUUAAAGUAGGAGGAUACUGUGCUAUACCGGAAGCUGGAUUUUAUCGUUAGGGGUUUCAACUUUUACAUUGUGAAAGAUAGAACCAGUUGAAAUAUGGAAAUGCGUGGUAUCAGACACAAAGGGAAAUUUGUUAAAAAUUCACACCAUAAGUAGAUAAAUGCAUUAAGAAAAGGGCGAUUGGUGGCUACAGAGCACCACUGUGUCGACGUAGAGUUGAUCCCGAAUGUUUUUGCCCCUGCUUCAACUUGUGACCUAGACCAUUUGUAUACGGUAAGUCAAGUAAUUUUUUUUUUUAGCGGAAGCACAUCCCGUUUUUGCAAGUAUAACAGUAACUGGAAAAUAUACUUCUCUUCCUGAAACCAUAACGCAUGGAAUAAUGAAAAUAUACCCAUUUAACACGUAGUAUCACGUGUGAAUUGUAUCAUUGUUUUUCUUUUCUUUUUGAACGAGUGAUAUUUUGAUAUUUGUAUUGAUAGUAUUCAUUAUAUUUAGUUUAUUUACAUUUAUUGAUCUCUAUGCGUUAACUGACUAUAUAAAUUCAUAAUUGUCUGUGGUUUUAAAAAAUGCAUUUGUCUUAUUUUAGGGAAAGGGUUCCCAAGGUACUGGUCCAUCAGAUGGAGUCACUAGCUGUGAUAUUGGGACACAAGAAGUACCUGCAGAGGCAAGUUGGCAAGAAGGCAGGCGGACUGUGGAGUUAAAUAUAUUGGCAGACAAUAUACGAGCCUGUAUUAAUUGCACACAGCCUCUUCAUUUAUCUUACUGCGUUGGUGAGAGCGCAAAUUCUCAAAGUAAAGUACAGAUAUGAACACUGUGGUGUAGUGAAUGAUGUGUCAACUGGAUCUAAACAUAAUAUUGAAAUAGGAGGAAAGGUCAAAAUGAACAACAGGUAUGAUAAAUGGAGGUUUUGGUGAAUCCCAUGUCAACUCCUAUAUGGCUGUACUAAAUAUUCCGGGUAUAUCAAAGAGAGGUUUUAAGGAAAGGGAAAAAGAGAUAGGGACACACUUGAAAAAAUGGCAGAACAUUCCUGUAAAAGAACCUUCAAGAUGAGUCACAAGGUAAAUGCAUGCAUAUUUUCACUUUUAUUCAAAUUUAAUCAUAUACUCACAUGUAAAAAAAAAAAAACAA